AACAUGUGUCACAUGAACUAUGGGAAAGACCAUGCAAGAUGUAAUCCAUCACAGAAAUGACAGCAGCUACUGCAAUUGCUCACCUCUAUUUCCACUUGCACCACACACAUAAUAUGUCCUAACUUUGGGAUGCAAAAUGACCUGAUGAACUGGAUUUUCUCUGGUUCCUGUGACAAUUUACUCAAAUUCCAUUUAUGUCUGUUCACAUACUCAGCUUGCCAAGCUGCGAUUUUGCCUGCUUUCCCAUCACUUGCUUGUCACACUGCAAUGAUGUCACAAAGACUUCACCUGUGACAUCAGAAAAAAAUCAAUACUUGGUGUCGUGGCCCAGAAAUCUCUGGAAAUAGGAGACUGCUGAUCUGGCAACUCUAAGAAGGGUGAACAGGACUAACUGGUCAUAGUUUUUCACUUGGAUACCUGUGUACUAAAGAAAAUUGCAGGUGGAACAAACUACCUUCUUUUGGGGGCUGAGACUCUUGAAAUCAAUUGCACUAACUUCUGAAUAAACAUGCAUAUAUUUAGUCUUUA